AGCACCUGAAACUUAAAAUAAAAUAAAAAUAAAUUCUUAGGAUCAAGUCCCACCCCAGCGGCUGGCAACUGCAAUUUUGGCAUCCAUUUCAAUGGAGACAAUAUUGUCACCUAUGGAGGUUUCACUCAGAAUAGAACCAGAUUCUGAGGGUGGGGAAGAUCCAAGGAGAGACCAUCAGGAGCAGUUUCCAAGGAGACUACCUCCUUGUGGGCUGAAUCUUCAGCAGGUGCAUAUUAGCUCAUUUCCAGCGAAGUCUGCAGGCAGAAAGACAACUUUUCACAGACCUGUCUUACCACCUACUUCCUGUUUUAUUCUUUCAUGGAUGCAACUUUCCCUGCAGGAAGAAGUGUUUCUGAGGCUGUAUACCAACUUCCAGGGAACCCCAACAUGCACCCACGACAACUUUUCAAAGAGGAGAUGCCUAACACUUCUGAGCCGAGUUCAGAGAUCAGGCAGUUGGGUUUCCUGUCCUGCUCCUGAGUCACACAGUUUUCUUCCCUAUUUGUUCUGUCUCUCUUGUUUGUUUCUGCUCGUUGCCUGACACUGGGCAUCAGAAGGCUAUUUGUGAUGUAUAACCUUGCAACUCUAAUUUCAGGAGGUUUUGUUGUGUUAAUGCAAUGUUAAAGUUCCAACGAGCAAGUUGUUAAAAUAAACAGGCCAGAAGCAUGUUUUUAUUUUUUUAA
rnacentral:lncRNA from 1 species